rnacentral:rRNA from 1 species
AUUGAACGCUGGCGGCAGGCUUAACACAUGCAAGUCGAGCGGGGUGAUGGUGCUUGCACUAUCACUUAGUGGCGGACGGGUGAGUAAUGCUUAGGAAUCUGCCUAUUAGUGGGGGACAACAUCUCGAAAGGGAUGCUAAUACCGCAUACGUCCUACGGGAGAAAGCAGGGGAUCACUUGUGACCUUGCGCUAAGAGAUGAGCCUAAGUCGGAUUAGCUAGUUGGUGGGGUAAAGGCCUACCAAGGCGACGAUCUGUAGCGGGUCUGAGAGGAUGAUCCGCCACACUGGGACUGAGACACGGCCCAGACUCCUACGGGAGGCAGCAGCGGGGAAUAUUGGACAAUGGGGGGAACCCUGAUCCAGCCAUGCCGCGUGUGUGAAGAAGGCCUUAUGGUUGUAAAGCACUUUAAGCGAGGAGGAGGCUUACCUAGUUAAUACCUGGGAUAAGUGGACGUUACUCGCAGAAUAAGCACCGGCUAACUCUGUGCCAGCCGCCGCAGUAA